AGGACGAACGCUGGCGGCGUGCCUAACACAUGCAAGUCGAACGGAACCAGCAAUGGUUCAGUGGCGAACGGGUGCGUAACACGUGAGGAACGUAGCCAUCGGCGGGGGAUAGCCGGCCCAACGGCCGGGUAAUACCGCGUACGACCUUUGGGUGGCAUCACCUGGAGGUGAAAGCAGCAAUGCACCGAUGGGGCGCCUCGCGGCCUAUCAGCUAGUUGGUGAGGUAACGGCUCACCAAGGCUACGACGGGUAGCUGGUCCGAGAGGAUGACCAGCCACAUUGGGACUGAGACACGGCCCAGACUCCUACGGGAGGCAGCAGUGGGGAAUAUUGCGCAAUGGGGGAAACCCUGACGCAGCGACGCCGCGUGUGGGAUGAAGGUCUUCGGAUUGGUAAACCACUGUCGCGAGGGACGAAGCUCUGACGGUACCUCGAAAGGAGCACCGGCUAAACUCUGUGCCAGCCAGCCGC
rnacentral:rRNA from 1 species